AGAAAAACGAUGAAGGGAAGAGUAGCCAUGAUCUUGCUUUCAAAGAGAGCCGGGAGGGUGGAAACCGGCAAAGCCGUCAUGGUGAAAAUGGCCCCAGAUGUUGCUCCCACGAAGAGGAGAGUAGGGGGAGACGUAUCCGGCGUUAUCGGACGGCAUGAAGAGGAAUGAAGUCCCUUUGCCCAUGGGGAAAGGGAGAAGUUGGGUGGUACCGCGGGAUCGAACUCGCCCCAAGC
rnacentral:ncRNA from 1 species